UCCCCUUGCAGUCCUCCUUCUUUCCCUCCCCUCCUCCUCCCCAUCGGUCGGGCAGCGGUAGCGCGUACUGAACAGCGGGAGUGCGCAAAGGCGGCCGGCAUGCACCUGGAGAGAAACCGCCCCGCCAAAUCGUGCAAGGGCACAGCCAGAGCCGCAGCAGCAUGCGGACUGAUGCUCUGACAGCAGGGAUAUAGCAGCAGCAGCAGCAGCAGCGACCUGGGCGGAGAUCGGAGCUGCAGCAUGGGCGAGGCACAGCCUAAAUUAAAGCGAUGUAAUUCCACGGACGUAAAAAAAGGUGGGUGGGGGGAACAUAAGUAGGAUCAGAGUUAUCCCUGUCAGACUUGGUUUGGUGUUUCCGAAAUCCACCAGACUUUUUUUCCUUGCCAACCUCAACUAAAAGGAUGGAGAAAGGCGCGCAGGUGUCCAAAAGCGCAGAGAGUCCGGCAGAGGACAUCUCCAAAAUUAGCGACGAGGAGAUGCAGAAGUGGGGCAAAGAGGAGCUGGUUCGGAGACUGCGGAGGGCAGAGGCGGGGAAGAGGAGCGCCAUCGUGGAGCACGGCAAUCUGAUGCGGGAGGUUAACCGGAGACUCCAGCAGCACCUGAACGAGAUCCGUAGUCUAAAGGACGUGAACCAGAAACUGCAGGAGGACAACCAGGAGCUGCGGGACUUGUGCUGCUUCCUGGACGACGACCGGCAGAAAGGAAAGCGGGUUUCACGGGAGUGGCAGCGUCUGGGCCGAUACAGUGCGGGCCUGAUGAGGAAGGAGGUGGCCAUUUACCUGCAGAAGCUGAAGGAGCUGGAGCAGCGCCAGCUGGAGGUCAUUCGUGAAAACCUGGAGCUCAAGGAAGUGUGCCUCAUGCUGGAGGAGGAGAGGACUGCGGCCGUUGCUGGAGGAGGUGUGGGCGGGCACGGAGGUUCCGGGCGUAGGAGUUCCAUUGACAGUCAGAGCAGCUCGUCUCAAGUGGGUGGAGGUGUCCCGGCACCUGGCUUGCUGCGGGAUGUAGGCGAUGGAAGCAGCACUUCCAGCGCAGGGAGUACAGACAGCCCAGAUAACCUCAAACCCCCUCUCCUGGGUUCCAACGCCAGUCCUGGGUCAAGGAACAUCUCUUCGGAACACCACCGGAAACCAGGAGAUGUGUGUGAAUCCACAGGAAGGAGGCACAGCUCCACCCCGGAGUACUACACAUUCCCCCAAUCGUGUCGCCCCCGAGGGGGAUCCCUCACUGACUUGGACCCUCGUGGUCUUCGGAGACACAGCCCUGAGAAACACAGUAAGUCUCCCACCAGGAUACCAUGUGACUCCAACCCAAAACCCCCCUGCUCUGACCUACUAGCCCACAAACAACUAUUGAUGUCAGGGCAGGCAUCACCCGGCCGUGGGAAGAACACCGCCAAGUCAAGCCCAGAGUUGAGUCAGAGACACCGUAACAUGGGGGGGGCAUGCUGUGGGAGUCCGGAGGCCAAGCUUGCAGCGAUGGGGACGCCAGAGCACCUGAGGAAAGGGCGGGUGAUUGUGGGUAGUCCGGAGUCUAUACGUCACCACCAGCACUAUCAGCACAGCCCCGGGAUGGAGCACAACAAGGCGAGGUUUGGCGGUGGCUCCCCUGGCAGGGAUCAGAGGAGAGCAGCAGGAGAGGAGAUAGCCCCCCACCACCAUAGUCUGUACAACGGUAGGCAGAGGCUCUGAUUUCUGCUGGUUGCUGCACCAAUUCCUGUAGGAGUGUAAAUCUUUGGGACAGCUUUGAUGCUUCCUGACCAUGACAUGCCUCUUGAUCAGAUGCUGCUGCAAAAACACACACCCCAGAGGACGAAAAGGAGGGUUGUUAACAAGAUGGAUGGAAAGAAGGACAAAUGGAUCGAGGCAUAUAUGGAGAAAUGAUCAUGAAAUUCUAAAUCAAGCAGUGAGGGCCAGUGAGCAGAUGAUUAGACACAAGGCGAAAAAAACUGGAGACACUUUCUCUUUGCCCUAUGCUGCUGCUGCUGCUGCUAUGCAUAUCCCGUGGACCACCAGAAAAAAGACUGAAUGUUGUUGUUCGUACAGACAGAGGCUCAUCCCGGCUGGCUCGCCAUAUGAAAAGGAAAACAAAUACGACAGCUGUGAGUCUUUGUGUGCCAACAAACUAUUCCUACCUCUUUGGAAAGACAGAGAUUUCCUGGAUUGAAGAACUUUUACAUGAAGUAAAGUGGAAGUUACAGCCCCACAAUCACUACAUCUAUAAUAUGUUGAACUUAAAUGCAACAUGUGACGACGGUAUUUUAUGAAGUCAUUAUGGCCCUGGAAUUAAAGCACAAAAUAAGUCAUUUUAAAUAAGCUUUUCUAGAAGCUAAAUCUGUGUUACCACAUUAUUGGCCAAGCCUGUUUACUAGUAAGAUUGUACUAAAUAAUUGCUGAGAUCUGCGGAAAUAGAAACAUUGCCCCAACAUUGGAAAAAACAAAGGAGGUCGGACUAAGUUCAUAGAUAAAAAGAUGGAUUUGAGGUAACACUGAAAGUGAGUGCACAAAUGCCAGUAGUCAGACUGCACAUGAAAAGUAUGGUCACAUGAUCCAGGAAUAGCGUUUGCCACUUCUAAAAGUCGUACAGUUUUAAAUCCCGGUACAUUUGCAAUGUUUAAAUCUCUGGUGGUUUCGAUUUAGUUUGACUAUAUGGUCCUUUUCUUUACAACAAGGUAUUGGUGUAUUGACAGAAUCAACUGCCAAUGAUUCAAAUAGCAUCUGAACCAAUAAUAUAUUUUCCACUGUCAUACAUAAAUGUUUUUGAGUUCUUCUAGUAUCUUUGGACUUCAAACUGUCAGACAUUUUUGGACAUUAUAUACCUAGGGUUAUGUGACAUUUAGUUGAGGAAUUCUGACAAUAUUUUGACAUCCUAAAGACCAAACAAUUUACUGAGAACAUUUAAGAUUGUUGUGGCAGCCAUGAUUUAAAAGAUAUCUUGCAGAUAGCUAAUCCCUGUCAUGAAUAUCAGAGCUGUAAGAUUACAGACUCUCACUGCUGCUAAUGUUUCACCAGGAACCAGUAAAAGCGUUUAACAUUCAAACAUUUUCAUAAUACAAUGUUUAUUUACCAUCAUUAGCUAAAGCUUUGUUGAGUGGGCUUGACAAGAUUUGAACAUAUGCGUUAUUGCUUUGUAAGCGGAUCAAGGUAAAAAAAGAAACUCAAAUCUGCCUCUGGAAACAUUUACAGAGACAGAUUUAGUGAAUUUGUGCAAACAAGCACAUCCUCCAUAAAAGAUCAAGGUGCUGUACCUGACAUUCAAAGGUUAGAGCUGCUAAUGACUUGACACAAGUCAUCCCACCUGAAACGAAAACAGCAUGAAUAAGACAAACUAUGGUGGACUUAGAGGUUUCCUUAAAGUUUUAUAGAGCAAUUGUGUUUCUUUUCCCAUCAAACUUUUAAGCCAUGUCACUGCAUUCCCAGAUCUCAGCAAUUAACUUAAAGACAUCAACUUAACCUCUGCCAAGUUCUGUAUUUGUAUGUUUUAGGUGUAAGGCAUUUUAGGAAGAAUAAACAAUAAUGAAGUCCAUCGCAGCCCUAAUAUUGGUGAGAACAUUGUUAUUAGAAAUGAUGGCUAAACAAACCACACUAAAAAACAGAUUGCAAUAAACACUAAUUAUACUUGAAAGAUUUCAGGCUUACAAAAGGUUUUUCUUUCUAUGAGCAUCAUUCGCAAACACAACACAAUUAACAAUACAGUAACCAGCAUUAACUGAAUUUACCUCCAUUUGAAGUGAGAAAUAUGUUAGUUGCCAUAUUUUGAAGUAGCUUCUAUGUAAAGUUAACUUCCUGUGUAUUUAUGAGGCAUUUACCCAGGGUGCUGUAACUUUAGGGGUUCCAGAGAGAAGACACAGGGAUGUGUGGAGGAAUUGUAAUGUUGUUUAUGGAAGGAGAAAUGUUUUACUAAUUAUCUGCUUUCAUUCUUCAUGCUUUUGUGUCAAGGUCUGUUCCUAUACUGACAGUGUUAGAGUAUCCUAAACCUUGUGUCAGCGUUCAGUCUUAUACAGUAUACGGUUCUCUGUGUGUGUGCUUGUCAUUUUCCACACUUCCAGGUAUUCAAAUAUGGACAACAUACCUUGUUCAAUAUUUUUUCAGAGCAUGUUAAGAAAAUAAAGUGUAGGAGCCCGAAGACAUCUAUACAGCAACACUAAGUUUUGGUUUCGGUUAAGUCCUUUUCUGAUAAUAUACCUAGGUAAACUAAGCAAUUCCUGAUUUAUUUAAGAAACAUAUCUAAUUGUUUAAGCACUAAUGGUAUAAAUUGCUCUUGUUAAAUUAAAUUACUGAGCUCUUUUUGCACUGCAUUGUUUUAAUUAAACCAAUAGUAUAAUCCGGUAGAAGCAAACACAGUCAGUUAAAUUACAUUAUUGUGGUUUAGGAUCUUCCCAAGUCUUAUUUAACCAGUACAUUUGAGAAAAGAAACAUGUCGUAACAGUUUUUCUAUUAAAACUCCCUUCGGUUUUGUUCUACAGAUGGUACAAAUUCCGCUGAAAACACUUCCCGAUAUUGUCAGUGAAAUUAGCAACAGUUUUUAAUACAACGAUAACUAUUUGGGUUUAAUUUUCAAAUAAUUAUUUUUCUUGAAGUUUCCAUACCAUCAUUAGACCCAGAUAUACUGGGGAUGGGUUAGUGGAGCUUUUGAGGACAGGAUCCAAUAAAAAAAAACGUAGUGAUUAGCAAACAUCUAUUAGUGAUGCAUCAAGUCUGCCACAUUGCUUGACAGGGAGCUUAGCUUUAGCAGGAUUAGCAUUAGCUGAUGUCUGUUGUUGCCAGCAAAUGUGAGCUAAUUUAUUCCAUGAUAUUUACUUUAUCCUAAGAAAAGUAUUUCCAGGAUUGUCACUACCAGAUGAAAUGAUCAAGGCCUGUUGUCCUCAUAAAACUCGAUGCGUGGAUGUGUGGAACAUUUUACAUUUUACCAUGUGCACACACAGUGGCUCACAACACACAUACAGACUGAAACACAUUUAUCCUGAAUCCAUAUUGUAUAACCUCUUCACCCUUUCUUUUUUAUAGAUUUGGUGACAGAUGAAACAAGUACUAAAUAUAUAAUAUAUUAUCAAAGACCUUUAUGUUUCUAAAAGUCAAGAGUAGUAUAUCUGCUUAGUUUUAUAAAUAUAUAACUACAGUUAUUAUUUUUGACUUACUGGUGUUAU